CACUGUUUAAGUUUAUGACUGAAAUAUUCUGUUAACUGAGCCAGUCAAUUUCUGUUUGACUUAGGAUAUGGCUUCUUUUACCUUUGAUAUUACCACAUGCCUGUUUUGGAAGUGGCUGUUUUCACUGGGCUCCCAAUGACCUAAACCACACCCCCACACGGUCUUCUUCUUUCCCGUCAGAAGGAAGUGGUGUGCAUAUGUGCACCUGUGUGCAUGUGUGUGUCAGAGAGAGACGGGGAGAAGAGCGAGACUGGAUGGAAAGAAUCUCUCCCUGAGUGAGGGAGAUUUUGAAUCAUUUUUUGGGAGAUUUGUGUGUUAUUUUCCCGUUGUUUGUUUUUAGUUUUAAAAAUCUUCUCUAGAGCUAUGGAUGGCUGUGUCAUUUUUGUUGCUGUUGAGCUACAAGAAAAAUGCUGGCAGUUGUGACAGAUUAUUAAGCCAGAAAAAUUUCUUGAAGAAAAUAUCCUCAUCUGUUAUGGGUACCUUUUUUCACAUUCACCAUUAAAGUUCUGCAGCCAGUGAAAUUGCCCAAUAUGCUGUCCCAGGCUCAUAUAGGACAGUAUAUGAGUGAGUCAUUAACAACACAUGGAGUUACGCAUUCUUGCUCCUCCUUCGUCUGGUGCACCCCACAUCUGUGAAUGGAAAGUGUCUACAGGACUGUGGUACUCUCUGGAUGAAUCCCACUGCUCUUCCGUGGAGUUGCUUCCGGUGGAGGGCAGUCAACACCAUCAUUCGAGAUGCUCAGCACAGUAAGCCAGAGAAAUGAAGGAGAUAAAAAAAAAAACGGACGAAUCAGAAAUCUAUCCUCAAAAGAUGAUCUUUUAGGGAAGGAGGAUGGCUUUUUGAUUAAAUUCCAGAAUUUCAGAGUCCUUUGUCUCAUAUUCGGUGUAAAGGCCUUCAAAUGAAUGGCCAUAGGAAAAGUCUUUGUUGACUCUUUUGCUUGAUAUUUCUGCCUUAAAAAUGUCAACAACCCUGUAUGAUCUGCACAUGUACACAGAACCUAAAGUACAAUUAAAAAAAGGCAGCUAUGACAAAUAUCAGCAAAAUUCCUUGUAGGGAUGAGUGACUAAUCACGUAUUAUAGGAAACACACAUGGAGUUAUUCACCAAAACAGCUUAUUUACCUAGUUACUCACCUAGUUGUGCUAUUUCUAUUUUGCUAUUCAGUGUAGCCCCAAGAGGCUGAUAAUAUAAGGUGCCUCUCUUUGACUUGAAUGCAGUUACUGAAAUCAAUUCAACAAGUUCUUCGUGGCAUUCUGCUACCAUCAGACACUAUGCCAGGAUCUAGAGAAUCAAAGGUUUUGAAAGCCGUGAUCCUGCCCACCAAGAACUGACAGCUGUGAGGAGAUAGGCCUGUAUGCAGAUGGUUUCAUUUGGCGUACUGACACCAGAUGUGGCAAUGCGUACUGAAAAUCAGUCUACCUACUAAAAUCAGUGCUGAAUGCGUAGAAAUGCAUGCUGAGAUCAGUCUAUGUAGUGAAAUCAGUACUGAAUUGUGUACAAAUGCAUACUGAGAUCAGUCUGUGUACUGAAAUCAGUACUGAACUGUGUACAAAUGCAUACCGAGAUCAGUCUGUGUACUGAAAUCCGUACUGAACUGUGUACAAAUGCAUACCGAGAUCAGUCUGUGUACUGAAAUCAGUACUGAACUGUGUACAAAUGCAUACCGAGAUCAGUCUGUGUACUGAAAUCAGUACUGAACUGUGUACAAAUGCAUACUGAAAUCAGUCUCUGUACUGAAAUCAGUCUAUGUACUGAAAUCAGUACUGAACUGUGUACAAAUGCAUACUGAAAUCAGUCUCUGUACUGAAAUCAGUCUGCGUACUGAAAUCAGUACUGAACUGUGUACAAAUGCAUACCGAAAUCAGUCUGUGUACUGAAAUCAGUACUGAACUGUGUACAAAUGCAUACCGAAAUCAGUCUGUGUACUGAAAUCAGUACUGAACUGUGUACAAAUGCAUACUGAAAUCAGUCUCUGUACUGAAAUCAGUCUAUGUACUGAAAUCAGUACUGAACUGUGUACAAAUGCAUACUGAAAUCAGUCUCUGUACUGAAAUCAGUCUAUGUACUGAAAUCAGUACUGAACUGUGUACAAAUGCAUACCGAAAUCAGUCUGUGUACUGAAACCAGAUGUGCGUACUGAACCAGAUGUGGCGAAUGCAGCUCUGGUUUCAGGCCAGGACACUUAGCUGGCCAGCGCAAGUCAGGUGAGGCUUCUCGAAUAGCUGGGUCCAUGUGAUCAAUAUUUUUGUCUACUUAUUUCAAGAGAAACUUUUUAAAAUUUAAAGUUAAUCCGUGUUCAAUUUAACAGGGCACAAAUGUGUAAAGCCAAAAGUGAAAUGAGAUGA
ensembl:lncRNA